UACGUAGGGUGCGAGCGUUAAUCGGAAUUAUUGGGCGUAAAGAGCUUGUAGGCGGUUUGUCGCGUCUGCUGUGAAAAUCCGGGGCUCAACCCCGGACUUGCAGUGGGUACGGGCAGACUAGAGUGUGGUAGGGGAGACUGGAAUUCCUGGUGUAGCGGUGAAAUGCGCAGAUAUCAGGAGGAACACCGAUGGCGAAGGCAGGUCUCUGGGCCACUACUGACGCUGAGAAGCGAAAGCAUGGGGAGCGAACAGG
rnacentral:rRNA from 1 species